rnacentral:tRNA from 1 species
GUCAGAAUGGCCGAGCGGUCUAGGCGCUGCGUUCAGGUCGCAGUCUCCAUUGGAGCGUGGGUUCACCUCCCCACUUCUGACA